ACGGCUUUACUUGAACAGCAUCUGCUCUAUAGGCUCGUACCACUGUAUCCCUGAGUUCUAAGGAGACAUAAAAGUAGGAAAGUCUGGUUGAUGAAGCAUGGUCAUGUGACCAGAGCGUGAUUAACAGCCUCCUCAUGGCUCUUAGUUGUGUGGGGCAGUAGUAGAUGAUCAUUCUCAGACCUCUCAGGUCUUAGAUUGUCUCAUGGCUGUCUGACAGACU